GGCGGUAUGCUUAACACAUGCAAGUCGAACGGUGCUUUCGGGCACAGUGGCGGACGGGUGAGUAACGCGUGAGAAUCUGGCUCUAGGUCUGGGACAACCACUGGAAACGGUGGCUAAUACCGGAUGUGCCCCUUGGGGUGAAAGGUUAACUGCCUGGAGAUGAGCUCGCGUCUGAUUAGCUAGUUGGAAGUGUAAUGGACUCCCAAGGCGACGAUCAGUAGCUGGUCUGAGAGGACGAUCAGCCACACUGGGACUGAGACACGGCCCAGACUCCUACGGGAGGCAGCAGUGGGGAAUUUUCCGCAAUGGGCGAAAGCCUGACGGAGCAAUACCGCGUGAGGGAGGAAGGCUCUUGGGUCGUAAACCUCUUUUCUCAGGGAAGAACACAAUGACGGUACCUGAGGAAUAAGCAUCGGCUAACUCCGUGCCAGCAGCCGCGGUAAUACGGAGGAUGCAAGCGUUAUCCGGAAUGAUUGGGCGUAAAGCGUCCGCAGGUGGCGAUGUAAGUCUGCUGUUAAAGAGUCUAGCUCAACUAGAUAAGAGCAGUGGAAACUACAUAGCUAGAGUACGUUCGGGGCAGAGGGAAUUCCUGGUGUAGCGGUGAAAUGCGUAGAGAUCAGGAAGAACACCAGUGGCGAAGGCGCUCUGCUAGGCCGUAACUGACACUGAGGGACGAAAGCUAGGGGAGCGAAUGGGAUUAGAUAC
rnacentral:rRNA from 1 species